UAAUUUCGAGAUUCCUCUCAAUUGAAUCAAAAUGAAGAAUUUUUUUCAAAUCAGCGUGAAGAAUUUUUUUCGUUUAGAAAUUAAUGGGUUUCCUGAUGAGGAUGGAUGUAAAAGUCAUUAGAUGUUCAAUUUGUAGAAACUUCACGUCAAGAUGGAAGUUAUAUUAAGAACGAAACAUUGAAUUCGAUUAUACCAACUUCCGUAUAUGAAAUUCAAGUGUUGCUUUCAGAAACAAUCUAAUGAAAAGAUGAGUUGGGUCAUUCUUAGAUGCCAUGGCAACAAACUUAAAGUGGAUUGUUUUUAGGAGCUGUUGUUGUAUCAAUUUCAGGAUCUGUUGUAUUUGAUUCAUAUUUAGAUUCUCUCUAGGAAGUCUUUCAGGUAGGAGAGAAAAUUUUCUGAGUCACUCCAGCCAUAUGUUAUCUGUCUUACAAAUUAAGGACUUAGGUUUGUGUAGUACUGGAUACUAGUGUUGCUAAACAUUUUCUCUGUAGUUUGCUUAUGAAGAUGCUAGAAGUUGAACAUCCAGGUGCUAAGGGUUUAAGCAGUGGCUCUUGCUAUGUCACUUUCCUUGUCGAGGAGAAGGACGUCAGUAUCUCAAACUUGUGGGAAUGCAGGG